rnacentral:rRNA from 1 species
UACAGAGGGUGCAAGCGUUGUUCGGAAUCAUUGGGCGUAAAGGGCGUGUAGGCGGUUUGUUAAGUCAUGUGUGAAAUCCCUCGGCUCAACCGGGGAACGACGCAUGAAACUGGCAAGCUAGAGUACCAAAGAGGGUGGUGGAAUUCCCGGUGUAGCGGUGAAAUGCGCAGAUAUCAGGAGGAACACCGGUGGCGAAGGCGGGUCUCUGGGCCGUAACUGACGCUGAGGAGCGAAAGCAUGGGGAGCGAACAGG